AUUGAACGCUGGCGGCAGGCCUAACACAUGCAAGUCGAACGAGAGGCGGACGGGUGAGUAAUGUCUGGGAAACUGCCUGAUGGAGGGGGAUAACUACUGGAAACGGUAGCUAAUACCGCAUACCAUCGGAUGUGCCCAGAUGGGAUUAGCUAGUUGGUGGGGUAACGGCUCACCUAGGCGACGAUCCCUAGCUGGUCUGAGAGGAUGACCACACACACUGGAACUGAGACACGGUCCAGAUUCCUACGGGAGGCAGCAGUGGGGAAUAUUGAACAAUGGGCGCAAGCCUGAUGCAGCCAUGCCGCGUGUAUGAAGAAGGCCUUCGGGUUGUAAAGUACUUUCAGCGGGGAGGCGUUACCCGCAGAAGAAGCACCGGCUAACUCCGUGCCAGCAGCCGCGGUAAUUC
rnacentral:rRNA from 1 species